UGCAGAUGUCCCUGGGCCCCGCUCAUGAUUUCACCUUGACGAUUUUCUCGAGCAGUUUUCUACAAAACUGCUUCCAGAAGCUCUCAAACUGGCCUGGCUUGGAGCAGGACAGGUGACUGGGCUUCAACACCGACAACCCCUGGCUUGGAGCCGUUGUGUCUCCACAAAUGGAAAGAGAGCAGCAGCCUGGCUGUGGGAGGCAGGGGACACAGCGGGCGCUUGUCACUGUAUAAACAGGAAGCACAGCACUGAUGCUGGCAGCCCUUAUGUGGAAGGCAAAGGACCAGAGGGAAGAGGCCACACCACGGGCUUCCAAGACUUGACCUCCUAUGUGGAAAUCCUGUUUCCAAAUGGCUUCUGGGGGCACCAAAAGCCAGGCUGGGAGAUGCCCAGGAAGGGAGACACUCUGAAGCCACCUGAGCCCACAGCCCCACUCUGGAUGAGGAGGCGGCAGAGCCGUGUCUCUCUAUUGCCCAGAGAAGAGCCCCUUCUCCCACGGAAGCUGCUCUGCUCUCCACCCUGUACGCCAGCUCCCAACUGCUCUUCAAUAGCCCAGCCGCGAGCACGAGGAGGACGCGUUUGACGGGAGCCCACAUGUCACCCUCCCUCCCAGCCGGGCGAUGCCUCUCCUACAGCUUCCCUCCAACUGACUGUCCUAAUCAGGCUCCAGAGGGGAGGCUGAUUGGAGCUGCGGUGGGUGGAAGCCGGGAUAGACUGGAAGAAGGACUUCCCAGACUCCCAGGGAGACCCAGGAAGCAGGGGAGGGUGUGGGACCCACUACAGCACCUCCACCAACCCAGGAAGGUCUCCAGCCCUGCUCAGACCAUCACAGAUUCUCACCACUGAACACCCAGCCCUGUGCACCCCAGCCCUGCACCGCCCAGGCCAGCCCAGGUGGAGGCUGGAUCCCGGCCCACGGUGCUCACAGGCCCCCGCCCCGGGGAGCUGGGAAGGGCGUGCGGGCUGCGUGGCUGGGCUGUGUGGCCUCCCCUCCAAGCUGCCCAGGGACAGGGACGGCCAGAGGAGAGCAGCCCAGGGCCAGGAUCCCGCCCAGGCGGGAGGCAGGUGGCUGCGCAGGACACCCCCAUGGAGCUGUCCACCUCACCUGCCCUGUGGCUGGUCACACUGCACGGCCAAUGUCCCUUCACUUGUCGGGCCCCAGCUGGACCUGAGAUCCUGGGGACAAAGCCUGACAAAGGUAACUCAACUCUGAGUCUCUGGACCCCAGAACGGGGCCCAGCCCUGAGUGGGUGCCCCGGAGCUGAUGGAUCCUGACAGUCAUAACAGCCCACCUGUUCUCAGGCUCCAGAUCCAUGGCCCAGUUGGAUUAUCCCAACUACUCACUAAGGUGGGGUGACUAGUCCUCCAUCUCACAGCUGAGGACAUGGACGGCACACAGAGAGAUCCAUUACAGGGGCCAGAAGCAGACCCAGCAGCCUGG
rnacentral:lncRNA from 1 species